ACAGAGGUCUCAAGCGUUGUUCGGAAUCACUGGGCGUAAAGGGUGCGUAGGUGGCGUGGUAAGUCAGAUGUGAAAGCCCGGGGCUCAACCUCGGAAUUGCAUCCGAUACUGCCGUGCUUGAGUACUGGAGAGGUGACUAGAAUUCUAGGUGUAGCAGUGAAAUGCGUAGGUAUCUAGAGGGAUACCAAAGGCGUAGGCAGGUCACUGGACAGUUACUGACACUGAGGCACGAAGGCCAGGGGAGCAAACGGGA
rnacentral:rRNA from 1 species